rnacentral:rRNA from 1 species
CAGUAGCCGCGGGAAUACGUAGGGUGCAAGCGUUAAUCGGAAUUACUGGGCGUAAAGCGUGCGCAGGCGGUUCGUUAAGACAGAUGUGAAAUCCCCGGGCUUAACCUGGGAACUGCAUUUGUGACUGACGGGCUAGAGUAUGGCAGAGGGGGGUAGAAUUCCACGUGUAGCAGUGAAAUGCGUAGAGAUGUGGAGGAAUACCGAUGGCGAAGGCAGCCCCCUGGGCCAAUACUGACGCUCAUGCACGAAAGCGUGGGGAGCAAACAGGAUUAGAUACCCCAGUAGUCCCUGUCUCUUAUAC